GCUUACGGCCAUACCACCUUAGGCACGCCCGAUCUCGUCUGAUCUCGGAAGCUAAGCAGGGUCGGACCUGGUUAGUACUUGGAUGGGUGACCGCCUGGGAAUACCAGGUGCUGUAAGCA
rnacentral:rRNA from 1 species